rnacentral:rRNA from 1 species
GGCUGGACCUCUCGGGGUUACAGCCUUGCUGAAUUAUUCACCCUUGUCUUUUGCGUACUUCUUGUUUCCUUGGUGGGUUCGCCCACCACUAGGACAAACAUAAACCUUUUGUAAUUGCAAUCAGCGUCAGUAACAAAUUAAUAAUUACAACUUUCAACAACGGAUCUCUUGGUUCUGGCAUCGAUGAAGAACGCAGCGAAAUGCGAUAAGUAGUGUGAAUUGCAGAAUUCAGUGAAUCAUCGAAUCUUUGAACGCACAUUGCGCCCUUUGGUAUUCCAAAGGGCAUGCCUGUUCGAGCGUCAUUUGUACCCUCAAGCUUUGCUUGGUGUUGGGCGUCUUGUCUCUAGCUUUGCUGGAGACUCGCCUUAAAGUAAUUGGCAGCCGGCCUACUGGUUUCGGAGCGCAGCACAAGUCGCACUCUCUAUCAGCAAAGGUCUAGCAUCCAUUAAGCCUUUUUUUCAACUUUUGACCUCGGAUCAGGUAGGGAUACCCGCUGAACUUAAGCAUAUCAAUAAGCGGAGGAAG